rnacentral:rRNA from 1 species
UACGGAGGAUGCAAGCGUUAUCCGGAAUUAUUGGGCGUAAAGCGUCCGUAGGUGGCAAUUCAAGUCUGCCGUUAAAACCAGUGGCUUAACCACUGAAUAGCAGUGGAAACUGAAUAGCUAGAGUGUGGUAGGGGUAGAGGGAAUUCCCAGUGUAGCGGUGAAAUGCGUAGAGAUUGGGAAGAACACCGGUGGCGAAAGCGCUCUGCUGGACCACAACUGACACUCACAGGACGAAAGCUAGGGGAGCGAAAGGG